AUCGGGCAUGUUCGAGGCACUGGGAAUAUAUAGCAGAGAACAAAACAGAAGUGGACCCACUGGCGCUUAAUGAAUGCGGGUGGGACUGAGCCAAGGAAGGCGCCAACAGGAAAUUCCCCGGAGCAGUGAGGGAUGGAUGUCGGAGGUCGGCCAGGGAUACCAUCUCCAGCAUCAAGCCUCCCAGCGAGCUGGAAAGAAACCGGUCCCACAGGAGAGGUUUUUCUGUUUGUUUUCCUCAAGCUUGACUUCUAACAAGAGAAUUUAAUUAAGAGCUCCAUUGCUUCGCCCAGGGAAUAAAAAUCCGAGGGAACAGCAAGGCGGAGGCUGGUGCCCGCCAGGAAAGGAGGAAGGGGCCUCUCUUGACUCAGAUCAGCCUGGGGCGGGUUUAAGCUACAGCAGAGAAGUUCAGCUCACAGAGGACAUUCGGUCUGACCCCAAGACAAGCAUCUUUUCCUGCAGGAAAAGUUUUCGAUUCUGCGGUGCAAAUGUAAAGAAGUUUAAACCAGCUGAAGCAACAGGCAGAGUUUGAUAUUCCCAAUUAUUCCCGCUCAUCCCACUCCAACUGUCUCCCCCGGGGCUGCUGGGGUGUAGAGGCAAGUCAGUGGGUCUGAGUUCAAAUUCCAAUACUGCACCGUCCUCUGCCUCAGUAGCAUCAUCUGUAAAAUGGGACAACUCCACCAAUGCAGUCACGUGACCCACCUAUACAAUAAGGAUAAUAACAUCUUUCUCGAAGAGUUGAGGGUGGGGGAGAUGACUGAGCUGGGAGCUGGAAAACAGAAGGGAGAUAAUGUGUGAGAUAGUAAAGGGCGUGGGCUUGAGAAUUAGACAGGCCUGCUGCUCACUUGGGCUGGAUGGCAUUUCUCUGAGCCACAGUUUCCUCAUCUGUAAAAUGGGGAUGUUAGUGCCUACUCCACUGGGUUAUUAAUGAGAACGAAAUGAAACACGAUAUGGAAAUACCUACCACUGGGCCUGGCCAAUCAUUAAAUGUUUGUGAAAUUUGAAACAUCCCCUCCCACCCGCCCCACAUCACCACCAGAUUCCCAGGAUUUGUCAUGGAGAGAAAUCUUUAUGAUUUGUGAUUUGACAUGGCUUCCUACUUCUCUGCUCUCUGAGACUUCUGGGGCUGGGCUGGAGGGUCAGUCAUUUGCCAAGAGGACACAUUUUCCUUGACUUCUGACUUCCCGCAGGACUGACAUAGACUGAGGAUGGGGCCAGUUUAGUCAUCUUAACAAAAUUCAAUCAUGAGUUCUGUUCUUUUUUUUUUUUUUUUAAAGGCAAUAUUCAACUUAGUCUAACCAGUCAUUUCAACCAAAAAGGCUGAAAUGUUUUGUGAGUGGAGGAGCUGAUGUCCUGGUACUUGGUUUAACUCAUGACAAAGCCAUUUGAGAAGGACUUUGAUGUUUCUGCCCCCAGGUGGCCAGGAGGAAGCCUUUAACUCACCCCUCAGCUUCUGGAAGUCUCAGGAAUCUCUCAGGAAGAACUGAGGCUGCAAGAAACAGAGAAGACACUUGGCCCCGGGUUUGAGUUCCCAUUCACCUGGCUGUUCAUUCUUGCCAGGGGUCCGUCGGAUGGGAAGAAAAGCUUGAGAACGCAGAGGCAGGGGACUCACCGACAUG